AACGAGACCUUAACCUGCUAAAUAGUUGCGCGAAACUUUAUGUUUCGUCGCUACUUCUUAGAGGGACUUUGUGUGUUUAACACAAGGAAGCUUGAGGCAAUAACAGGUCUGUGAUGCCCUUAGAUGUUCUGGGCUGCACGCGCGCUACACUGACACGAUCAACAAGUAUUUCCUUGCCCGGUAGGGUUAGGGUAAUCUUUUGAAAUCGUGUCGUGCUAGGGAUAGACGAUUGCAAUUAUUCGUCUUCAACGAGGAAUUCCUAGUAAAUGCAAGUCAUCAGCUUGCGUUGAUUACGUCCCUGCCCUUUGUACACACCGCCCGUCGCUCCUACCGAUUGAGUGAUCCGGUGAGCUGUCCGGACUGCGAUUAGUUCAGUUUCUGUUCUCUUCGCGGGAAGUUCUGCAAACCUUAUCACUUAGAGGAAGGAGAAGUCGUAACAAGGUUUCCGUAGGUGAACCUGCGGAAGGAUCAUUC
rnacentral:ncRNA from 1 species